rnacentral:rRNA from 1 species
GGAGCGUUCUGUAAGCCUGCGAAGGUGUGCUGUGAGGCAUGCUGGAGGUAUCAGAAGUGCGAAUGCUGACAUAAGUAACGAUAAAGCGGGUGAAAAGCCCGCUCGCCGGAAGACCAAGGGUUCCUGUCCAACGUUAAUCGGGGCAGGGUGAGUCGACCCCUAAGGCGAGGCCGAAAGGCGUAGUCGAUGGGAAACAGGUUAAUAUUCCUGUACUUGGUGUUACUGCGAAGGGGGGACGGAGAAGGCUAUGUUGGCCGGGCGACGGUUGUCCCGGUUUAAGCGUGUAGGCUGGUUUUCCAGGCAAAUCCGGAAAAUCAAGGCUGAGGCGUGAUGACGAGGCACUACGGUGCUGAAGCAACAAAUGCCCUGCUUCCAGGAAAAGCCUCUAAGCAUCAGGUAACAUCAAAUCGUACCCCAAACCGACACAGGUGGUCAGGUAGAGAAUACCAAGGCGCUUGAGAGAACUCGGGUGAAGGAACUAGGCAAAAUGGUGCCGUAACUUCGGGAGAAGGCACGCUGAUAUGUAGGUGAAGUCCCUUGCGGAUGGAGCUGAAAUCAGUCGAAGAUACCAGCUGGCUGCAACUGUUUAUUAAAAACACAGCACUGUGCAAACACGAAAGUGGACGUAUACGGUGUGACGCCUGCCCGGUGCCGGAAGGUUAAUUGAUGGGGUCAGCGCAAGCG